CCACUCCCUAAAAUUUCUCCCACAAACAAAUCAAAUCUCUACCUUAUAUAUAUCUCUUUCCACAACUGUAUUUUAUUUUAUUAGCGCCGUUCUAGACCCUAUUGCAGUGUUCCUUUUUUCUCUUCCGUGAAGUGGGAAGGAGGAAUUGAGAGUGUUGUAACUACCGUCUGUUUGUGCGAACCUUGCUUCUUCCCAAAGAAAGGGGAGCAGGGGAGAUAAAUGCUUCCUGACGUGAACGGAGGAUGUAGUGUUGAAUCUGUGAUUCCAGAGAGAGGCGUGAGAGAGAGAUAUGAGAGAUGGGAGUACUGCUCCUGCUCCAAAAUUUUGUGUGAAGGGACCGAAGGAAAAAGAUGAACUGGGAGGUGUAAGUGCUGAGAGUGUAUUAAUAAAUAUGGUUUGUUCAUGUAUUUAUUUGAGGCAGAGAAAGAAAGCAUGAAUUACAGUAGAGAAGGAGAGGAAGUUUUCGACAGUUUAGAGAAGGGAGUGUAUAAUUAUUUUUUUUCUUUCCAGCCAUUUUAUU